rnacentral:lncRNA from 1 species
CAUGAACGACUUCGACUGAACGAACCAAACUCCAGCUCCCUCACCCUCUUCGUCAAGAGUCCGGUCGUCGUCCAGUGACAAUACAUACACACAGUCCGCCACACGACCACUUUCGCUUCUCCACCGUUACGCGAAGACCUCAACCAGCUCGUAACGCAGCCAGCCAGUCCACCAGACCACCCUUUUCCCGUCGUCAACGACGACCCGUCGUCCUACUGCUUCAUCUUCGUCUCCGUUCCAAGUAGCGAGCCAAACGCGUGGGUUCAAGCUUUGCGAGAAACUCGUUUUGGAAUUUUGAGUCGAAGUUUCUCUUUGUGCUCACGUUUGUGGUCCAUGGUAAUUUUGCUUCGAGUUCGGGGGUAUGUCCGGUUAAGAUCUCGUCGGAGACCCGUUGUUCAGAUUUGUUUGAGCUUCAAACUUGCCGAUCUGGGCCUUCAUUUGGACUCAUCUUCUUCUACAAGUCAUUAUAUCAUAAAUGGUACAUCAAGUCAUGGAUGAUUCAUACAUUCAGUACAAAAGUUCCGGACAGAUUCGAGUUGUUGGUUUCAAAGUUUUCGGGCAGAUUUGUUUCCGCUCGAGUUCGUCGUUAUUUCGAUCCGGUUAGUUGUUUUAAAUUUUAUUUUUACCCGUAUUAUGUUUGAUAUUCUCGGAUCUAAAAUUAGUACAUGUUUGAUUAUUUUCUUGUUCGUUGUUUAUCAUUUUCUUGAUUAUUUCUUCAGAUUGUUUUAUCAUUUAUUCUUGUUUAGUUUUAAUAUCAAAAUAUUUUAGUUUAAUCACUUGAAUCAUUUAUCUUGAUUAUAACGUUGUUAGAUUUAAUUUAAAGUUCAAUUGAUUAUUGAGUUUAGUAAUUUGAAUAUGUUUUAUUGUUAUGUUAAGUCUAAAUUUGGAUCCGAGUUAGAGUUUUGAAUUUAUUUGUUUGAUAUGUUAAGUUUAAUUUGAAUCCGAGUUUAGUGAUUUGAAUUUAAUUGUUUGUUAUUGUUGUUGAAUCUGAAAGUAUAUUUAUUGUUAAAAAUGUUGUUCAGUCAAAAUAAUUUUUAGUUGGUUCUGGGUUGUUCAUCAUAUAAUUUGAAUUUGUCGAUUGAAUUUGAUUAAGAAUUGGUUAUAGUUGCUAUAUUUUGGUUAAUUUAUCUAGGUGAGUUGGUUAUAGCUGACAUGGGUAAAAUAGUAAUUUUUAAUAAUUUUGGGGUAUUUUGGGAAUUGAUUAUAUGUAGGCUCAUAACUUUUAAUUAAAAUAAGAGGGGACAAGGGGUUGUGAGGGACAAGACGUAAUGAUAUAAAGUAAAAAUGGGUAAUGAUAAAAGGUCUUCUUUGACCACUGAAAAGAGGUGGGACCGUGGGGCCCAUGUUGACUACUUUUUGUUUAAUUAAAAAUCAAAAAUAGUGUAUGUAAUAAUAAAAUAUUAAAAGAUAGACAUAGGAAGGAAUAUAGUGGGGGCUGAAAAUUAAAGAAAAGGAGGAGUAAUUGGAAGGGUAAUAAUAAAGAGGAUAGUAAUAAUAAUUAAAGCUUGUUUUAAAUAUAAAUAAGAGCCAUUUGACACUUAAAGGAAGGACUUAAUUUUGGGGGACGGAAAAUAAGUUCAGUAUUUGGAGAAAUAGAAAACAAAAGGAAUUUACUUCCCUUGAGGAUGAAAGAUCAGUAGUUGUUUCUUGAUUCUGUGAUAUAGUAGUUGGUAUUUUUAUGGAAUCUUAUUGGAUCCAAGUUUGGUUUAUUUCUAGUCAUUGCCUGGGGUAUUUGCUGUGGAUGUUUGUUGUUGUUGCUGUGUAUUGCUAUUGCUAUCCUGCUGAUCACUCCUCUUCUUCUUUUGCUUCUAAUAUCAGGUACACAACUGGUACACCUUGUAAGUUGAUAACAUGAAGCACGAAUACAAAUGAAGAGUUGAAGUUUUAAUUUUAUUUAAUUUUGUUAUUGAAUGUAUUUAGGCCACUCUAUAUACUAUUGUUAUAUAAGUUUCUGCCAUGUUUGUAUGACGGGACAGCUUGUAGUGAUGCAUUAAAUAAUGUUAUGUUUUAAUUUGGUUAUUAGGUAUAUGUUUAAGCAUGUCCAUCACUGUCAAACUGUUUAAUAAUUGGAAUAAGAGGAAAUAGUAUGAGUUGAUCUUUACUGAAUCGGCUUGGUCAAACUGUUCAAUUCACUAGCUGUGAAGGUUUUGAUGUUGUCUAUAGUAGGUUAAUCGAACAUGUAGCUAAAUCUAUUUAAG